GUAGUGGGUUAUCAGAACUUAUUAACAUUAGUGUCACUAAAGUUGGUAUACAACCCCCCACUACUAC
rnacentral:sRNA from 1 species